UCAGUGGUGAUUCAGUGGUAGAAUUCUUGCCUUCCAUGCAGGAAACGUGGGUUCGACUCCUGGCCAAUGCA
rnacentral:tRNA from 1 species